UACGUCGGGUGCAAGUGUUGUCCGGAAUUAUUGGGCGUAAAGAGCUCGUAGGCGGUCUGUCGCGUCUGCUGUGAAAACCCGCGGCUCAACCGCGGGCCUGCAGCCGAUACGGGCAGGCUAGAGUUCGGUAGGGGAGACUGGAAUUCCUGGUGUAGCGGUGAAAUGCGCAGAUAUCAGGAGGAACACCGAUGGCGAAGGCAGGUCCCUGGGCCGAUACUGACGCUGAGGAGCGAAAGCGUGGGGAGCAAACAGG
rnacentral:rRNA from 1 species